AAUAGAGAAGCAACAGAGAGUAGAGAGAGUAAUCCACAAACUACUUCUUAGUUUGUGAGAAAAUAUUUUGCAAGUAAUAUUAUCGUGAGUUUUGAAAAAUAAAAGAGUGUUGAGUAGUAGUCUUUUGACACUAUCAAGUUUUUCAUCAAUAUUAUUAUAUUACUUAUUCGGGUAUCAUAUUUACCCAUUUAAUAUUUGGUAUCGUUACUCUCUUCCUAUUGCAAUUUAGUUUGGACAUUAUCCUGGGUGUGAUUAUCAUUUUGUCUAACAACGUGGUAUCAAAUCCAUAACAAGUAAUACUCUGUUGUCCUUUCUAUACCCCCAUCUCACAAGAAAAAAUCAUGAAAAAUGGUGUCUACGAAUGAAAGUCAUUCUUGACUCUCAAGAUGUUUGGGAUAUUGUAGACAAAGGGUAUACAAGAACCACAAAUGAGGAAACUUUGUCCUCAAAUGAAAAGGGGGUAUUGUUAAAGACAAGAAAGAAAGAUCAACAGGACCUCACUCUUAUCCAUCAAAGUUUGAUGAUGGCAUAUUUGAGAAGGUGUCAUAUGCAACCACCUCAAAAGAAGCGUGGGAUAUUUGGAAAAAUUCUCUCCAGGGAGUUUCUAAAGUAAAGAAGAUAAAACUUCAUACUCUAAGGGCUGACUUUGAAGUUUUAAUAAUUAAAAAAUCCGAAUUCAUUUCAGAAUUCUGUUCAAGAUUGAUGGUUGUUGUAAAUCAACUAAGAAAUUACGGGGAGGAAGUAGAUGAUGUGCGUGUGGUAGAAAAGAUCCUUCGUUCUUUAACACCUAAAUUAGAUUAUGUGGUGUGUAUAAUUGAGGAGUCUAAAGAUUUAGACUCUAUGGUGGUAGAACAAUUGAAAUGUUCUUUACUAGCCCACGAAGAGAAAAUGAAAAGGAGAAAAAAAGAGCCACUAGAGUAACUUCUCAAAACUCAUGCAUUCUUCAAAAGAUUUGAAGGUGAGAAGAGUUAAGGAAAUGGAAAAUGGCAAGGCCGUGUUGGUCGUAAAGGCCGAGUAAGAGGAAGAAGUUAUACCAAUCAUAUCAGCAAUGAAGAUAAAAGUCACUAGUCAUUCAGAGGUCGUGAUCGUGGUCAACGAGGAGGUAGAGUAUGUGGAUCCUAUCAAGGUACAAAUGAAAUGAGGUAUGACAAAUCUAAAAAGAAAAAAUUGUGGAGAUAAAGAAGAUGGUGAAAGGUAAUAUAUCUUUUGGAGAUACCUCAAAGAUCCAAAUUGAAGGGAUAGGUAGGAUUUUGAUAUCUUGUAAAGAUGAUGACCAUAAAUUGAUUUCUAAUGUUUAUUAUGUACCAAAAUUGAAAAGUAAUAUUUUGAGUUUGGGUAAACUUCUUGAAAAAGGAUAUGAUAUUCAUAUGAAAAAUAUGCAUAUUUGAUUUAGAGAUUCAUGUAACAACUUAAUUCCUAAAGUUCAUAUGGCAAAGAAUAAGCUGUUUCCUUUGAAUCUUAGAACAAUCGAUGCAAAGUGUUUGAAGGCCAAUAUGCAAGAUCACUCAUGGUGUUGACAUAUGAGAUUUGGGCACUUGAACUUUGAAGUGCUCAAAUCAACAGGAGACAAAAACAUGGUUGAUGGGAUACCGUCAAUCAACCAUUGAAUUCAAUUGUGUGAAGCUUGUCUUCUUGAAAAAUAUGCAAGGAGGAGUUUUCCAAAAGAGACUACAUCAACAACAAGUUAUUUCCUUUGAAUCUUCAAACUAUCGAUACAAAGUGCUUGAAGAAAAAUGUGCAAGAUGACUCGUGAUAUUGGCAUAUGAGAUUCGGGCACUUGAACUUUGAAGCGCUCAAAUAAAUGGGAGACAAGAACAUGGUUGAUGGGAUACCGUCAAUCAACCAUUCAAAUCUAUUUGAGAAGCGUGUCUUCUUGGAAAACAUGUAAGGAGGAGUUUUUCAAAUGAGACUACAUCACGAACUAGUAAGCCACUUCAACUUGUUCACAAUGAUGUGUAUGGUCCAAUUGAUCCACCUAUUUUUGGUAAAAGAAAUACUUCUUGGUCUUUAUUGAUGAUUUCAGUAGAAAGACUUGGGUAUACACUUUGAAGAAAAAAUCUGAAGUUUUUGUUGCCUUUAAAAAUUUCAAAACACUAGUUGAAAAAGAAAGUGAUUAUAAAAUAAAAGCAUUAAGGUCCAAUAGAGGAGACGAAUUCACUUCAAAAGAAUUUAAAGACUUUUAAAGAUGGUGGCCAUAAUUACUAAUGUUUAUUAUGUUCCAAAAUUGAAAAAUAAUAUUUUUGAGUUAGGGUCAACUUUUUGAAAAAGGAUGUGAUAUUCAUAUGAAAAUAUGCAUCUUUGGCUUAGAGAUUCAAGUAACAACUUAAUUGCUAAAGUUCAUGUGGCAAAUAAUAGGUUAUUUCCUUUGAAUUUUCAAACUAUCGAUUCAAAGUAUUUGAAGGCCAAUGUGAAAGAUGAUUCAUGGUGUUGACAUAUGAGAUUUGGGCAUUAAACUUUGAAGCUCUCAAAUCAAUGAUAAACAAGAACAUGGUUGAUGGGAUACCAUCAAUCAACCAUCCAAAUCAAUUGUGUGGAGCUUGUAUUCUUGGAAAACAUGCAAGGAGGAGUUUUCCAAAGGAGACUACAUCAAUAAUAAGUAAGCACUUCAACUUGAACACACUGAUUUGUGUGUCUAAUCGAUCCACCUUCUUUUGGUAAAAGAAAACACUUCUUGCUCUUUAUUGAUGAUUUCAGUUGAAAGACUAUGGUAAACCUUUUUAAGCAAAAAUCUGAAGUUUUUGCUGCCUUUAAAAAUUUCAAAGCACUUAUAAAAAAAGAAAGAGGUUAUGAAAUAAAAGCAUUAAGGUCCGAUAGAGGAGGCAUAAUUCACUUUAAAAGAUUUAAUGACUUUUUUCAAUCUCAUGGAAUUCCUCGCCCUCUAACGGUACCUUACUCGCCCCAACAAAAUGGAUAUGUAGAAAGUAAGAAUAGAACAAUUCUUAAUAUGGCUAGAUGUAUGUUGAAAGCUAAUUAUCUACCAAAAGAAUUUUGGACCGAGGUUGUUUCUUGUGCAGUUUAUUUGAGCAACACGUCUCCAACAAAAAUGUACGAGCUCAAACACCUCAAGAAACAUGAAGCGAAAGAAAGACAAAUGUUAAACACUUGAGAAUAUUCGGGAGCAUAGCUUAUGCUCAUGUUCCACAUCAAGGGAGAUCUAAAAUUGACGAUCGUAGUGUCAAACAUGUGUUUGUUGGCUAUGAUGCAAGUUCAAAAGGCUACAAAUUGUUUAAUCCACGCAAUAACAAGGUUGUGGUGAGUCAUGAUGUUGAAUUUAAUGAAGAAGCAUCGCAAAACUGGGAGGCUCUAAAAGAAAAAACAUAUGAUUUUCUUCCUUACUUCGGAGAUGAAGAAGGAUAGGAGACCAUGGAACCUGCACAGGUUGCAACCCCGCCUUCUUUACCAGCAAAUGUUGCAUCUCCAUCUUUUCAAGAGAGUUUAAGUGAAAGACCACAUUGGAUGAUGAUCAUUCUAUGAUGACAUAGAAGAAAUUACUAAUUUUGAUUUUUUGUGUUGUCUCUUUGCUGAUAGUGAACUAAUAAAUUUUGAUGAAGCUCUUACUGACAAAAGGUGGAGACAAGCCAUGGAGGAGGAGAUCCAGUCAAUAGUGAAGAACUACACUUGGGAGUUAAUAACUCGUCCAAAAGGACCAUCGAGCAGUUGGAGUCAAAUAGGUAUAUAAGAUGAAGAAAAAUGCCCAUGGAGAGGUUUAAAGAUACAAGGAAAGCUUCUGGCUAAAGACUACAAACAAAGGAAUGACAUCUACUAUGAGGAAGUCCAAACGUCUGUUGCCCGCAUGGAGACAAUCCGUCUAUUGAUCUCUUUAGCAGCGCAAAUGAAGUGGAAGAUCCAUAUGUCAAAUUGGCAUUCUUGAAUGGAUAUCUUGAAGAAGAAGUCUAUGUUGAGCAACCAUUGAGUUUUGUGGUUAAAAAUUACGAAGAUUAGGUGUUGAGGUUGAAGAAAGCCUUAGAUGGGUUGAAGCAAGCUCCACGAGCUUGGAAUAGUCGCAUUGACAAAUACUUUCAAGACAAUGGGUUUACUCGUUGUCUCCAUGUAUAUACUCUUUACAUUAAAGUUCAUACUAAUGGAGAUAUCUGUUUGUUUGUCUUUAUAUUGAUGAUCUCAUUCUAACGGGUAACAACUCAAUUUUAUUUGAAGCUUUCAAGAAAGCUAUGUCCCUUGAGUUUGAGGAGACAGACAUAGGGCUCAUGUCAUAUUACUUGGUCAUAGAAGUGAAGCAAAUAGAGGAAGGCAUCUUUAUAUCUCAAGGAAGCUAUACAAAAGAGAUUCUAAAGAAGUUCAACAUGUUUGAUUUCAACCCUGUGAAUACCCAGUGGAAAGUGGAACAAAAUUGACAAAAUUUGACGAUGGAGAAAAAGUGGAUUCCUCUUUGUUCAAAAGUCUCAUAGGAAGUCUGAGGUACUUGACAUGUACGAGACGAGAUAUACUCUUUGCAGUUGGAGUAGUAAGUCGCUUCAUGGAAGCUCCUACCUCCAUUCACUUGAAGGCCACUAAAGGAAUUCUUCUCUCCCUAAAAGGUACAAUCAACCUUGGGCUAUUUAAUUCUUCUUAUGAUUUUAAUCUUGUUGGAUAUUGUGAUAGUGAUUAUGCGGGAGAUGUUGAUGAUAGAAAAAGAAAAUAUGGUUUUGUGUUUUUCUUGGGUGAUUGUGUUAUUUCUUAGAGUUCAAAUAAACAAUCAAUUAUUACUCUAUCGACUUGUCAAGUUGAAUACGUGGCAAUGACAUCAUGUACGUGUUAUGCUAUUUGGUUGAGAAGAUUGUUGAAGGAACUCAAUUUGCUGCAAAUUGAAGCCACAAUGAUUUGUGUUGAUAACAAAUCCGUGCAAGCACUUGCAAAUAAUCCUGUAUAUCAUGAUUGAAACAAGCACAUAGACACAAGGGAUCACUUUAUCCGAGAAUACAUUGCUAAGAAAGAGGUAGAACUCAAGUAUGUGAAAUCUCAUGAUCAAGUUGCGAAUAUAUUUACAAAGCCUCUCAAGUUUGAAGAUUUUCAAAGAUUGAGAUCAUGCCUUGGAGUAAAGAAGAAAAAUCAAAAUUAAGGGAGAGAUUUGUGGUAAAAAUUCUUGGCAACAAUUAAUUUGGCAGCCAUACUUGUUGAAAUUACUAGCCACAAAUGUGAAAAUUGAUAGCCACCAAUGUGAAAGUUGGUAGUCAUAUUUGUAGAAGUAGGUAGUCAUAGUUCGGUAUAAGUUUGGUAGAGUUUGGCAACCAAUUUUUGUGAAAAUUGGCUACCACAUUAUGUCAUUAAUGAUGUAAUCAAGUCUUGAAAAAACUCUAUAAAUAGAGUAGUAAUUGAACACUAAAAGACAUACCAAAAUAGAGAAGCAAUAAAGAGUAGAGAGAGUAAUCCACAAACUUUAGUUUGUGAGAAAAAUAUUGUGCAAGUAAUAUUAUUGUGAGUUGUAAGAAAUAAAAGAGUGUUGAGUAGUAGUCUACAACCAACUUUUUGAUCAAUAUUAUUAUAUUACUUAUUCGGGUAUCAUAUUUACCCAUUUAAUAUUUAGUGUCGUUGUUACUCUCUUAUUAUUGCUAUUUAGUUUGGACAUUAUCCUGGGUGUGAUUAUCAUUUUAUCUAAUAGUUAUUACUUUCAAAUUAUGCAUGACUGUACCUUCUCGACUCAUGGAUCCAAUUAGGUUAUUGUUAGCUACUUUACCUUUCAGUUUCUUCUGCUUCUAGACUCGUGAGGUUUAUAGUUAGUCACAUUUUAUCGCUUUGCUCGAUUGACCUCUAGUCGGUGUUACUUUAUCGUUUUUCCUCUUUACUUUUUUAUUUUUCGUGCUUUGUCAGUCUAUGAUGCGUACAAAGUCUCUAUUAUUUUGAUACUCAUACUACACUCUACAUUUGUUUUCCUGAUAUAGAUCCUAGCUCCAACCGUCAGUGUUGAUUAGGACAGCUUUAGAGAUCUUUGGAGAUUGAGGGUGAGCUGAUGGUGUUUUAGUUUAGCCUAUCUCCUUCUGUAUAUAACUUUUGGGCUAGUUUUUUUAUAUUUCAGUUAAGUCUGUACUUUUUGAUCCACUUUUGUGACUUAUACUCGUAUAGUAGUUUUAUAUUGAUAUCCACCAGGUUGGAGGUUUGGAUCUUGUACUAUUGGCUUUUGUAUAUAUUACUAUUCUUGUCUUUAA